rnacentral:snoRNA from 1 species
AGGUCAUGUCAAAGAGGGCUCCUGGGUCUGUGAAUUCAAGAGCUCUUAACGCUGUUAUCAAAGGUUGACGUUGUUGGUAGGAUAGAUGCCAUGGCCCUCAAUGGUGCUGUUUCCCUGAGGAGAUGCAAUA